UACAGAGGGUGCGAGCGUUAAUCGGAAUUACUGGGCGUAAAGGGCGCGUAGGCGGUUCGCUAAGUUGGAUGUGAAAACUCUGGGCUCAACCCAGAGCCUGCAUCCAAAACUGGCGGGCUAGAGUUCUGGAGGGGGUAGCGGAAUUCCUGGUGUAGCGGUGAAAUGCGUAGAUAUCAGGAGGAACACCAGUGGCGAAGGCGGCUACCUGGACAGAAACUGACGCUGAGGCGCGAAAGCUAGGGGAGCAAACAGG
rnacentral:rRNA from 1 species